GAGCGCCUGGCUAGCAGCCCUUUUAUAGGGCCAACUGCGGCUAGCCUAUUGGCUCCCUGGGGCAGCCCUUUCCCAGGGCUGUUUUACCCCUUCAGGGCCGGAGCGGGUGACCACCCCACUGUAGUGCCUAUUAGUAAUAAUACCAGAAAGCUUACAGAAAAGGCUGCUAGUGGAAUUACAUGAGCAGCACCAAGGGGUGGUAAUAACGAAAGGGGAGGUGUGACAUAGAGACUCCUUGGCAAAGGGUCCCCUGUUGUUUGCACGCGUCUCUCACCUCUGACCUGACAAACUCUCUACACCAACCUACAGUAUGCAGGAUAUUGCUCCAUAAACAGUAACAUAUAAGGUAUCUACAGAAAGCUCAGAACUUGUCAAGAUCCGUACUCAUUACAAGACAUGCGUAUGUACAGGUAAUAGUUAAGGAAUAAUGUAUUAAUAUUGACAGCAUGCUUUAUAAACUUGGAGUAAAAGUCAGUCACCAGGGGAUAAUAUGUCUCAGUGAUGGCCUGUUUAAGCAGGAGAGAGUUGUACCUGCCCUGGUUGGCCGGUGAUGUAAUGCAAAGCUGAAUUGUCCAGCCUUGCUCCAUCCGAAGACUAUCCAUGGAAAACCAUCAGAGAGAACUACAAGUAAUCAAAACCUCCUGGAGGUAAAGAAAGGAACAUUACAACAGACAGGGGAUCACCCAGUCUAGGAAUAGAGACUAUGAUGCUGGCAGACCAGGUGGCAGCUCAUGUCAAAGCCCCUAGGCCUCAACUGAAUCUUGACAAAGACAUAAUACCUUACCAUAAUACCAGUCUGGCUCUCCUGGGUGUUAGUGUUGUUAAACUAGGUAUUAGGUUUGUGAUACAGGGCCAGAAAUGCUUAUACAACUAGCAGGCUGGUUGACCCAGAUUCAACCUUUAAAGACAUAGUGGAUUAUGACUGUGGUUUUUGUGUGUUUACAUAUAUAUUGUUAGAGUUUGACAAUGUAACCAAAUGGUUCCUGUGUAUCGCUGUAUUCUGUUAAUUCAGAGAUCAAAAGGAAAUGUUAACGUUUAGAUGAAUUGUGAAUGUAGUAAUAUCAUCGUCCUUAUUUCUCUUUGAAGUUUGUAGUAAACUACCUGUAAAUGGCUGAAGAUGGGCAGUUGCCUUAUGUUAAUCCAUGUAGCUAAUUAUCGGUGAUGCUUAGGAAAUAGGAGGUCUACUUCAAAGCUAGGAUAAUUGCCUAUUGUUCACCCAAGGACUGCACGCUGUCAAGAGGCUGCUAGAAAACUAUAAAAAGAACUCUAGGGCCCUGAUCCUAUCAUCUCAGAUCUGCUUAAGCUUCAUCAGGGGAAGUUUGAGUCACAAGAAUGAGGUCUCCAGUCCCAUCUGGGUCACCGUGAUAUAGGACAUUGGACUGCUACACAUGGACUAAUUCUGAAAGUACUUUUUUCAACUCUAAAGCUCACCAUCUCUACUAUGAAACUGAUCUAAGAACUCUAUUCAUAUCUGAGGUGUUAUGUCCUACCCAACACAAGAAGGCCCAUCGACACCAGACAAACCAUUGUGGAACAUCAGAGGACAAAAGGCUUUGUUGAUUGCUCCCCUGUCUUCCAUGAAGAGGAGACUGAAUUCCUUGCAACAGCUGAACUUGCAUCUUGCAGCAGAAGGGGAGAAGGUAUAAAAGGCCUUAACAAGGAGAAACUGGAUCUUUAAUGCUAUUUGCACUCUGAGGGGCACGGAUUAAGAAAAAGUAAAAAAUCCCCAGUGCUUGGCCUGGGGUAGCCCUAAAGGACAUAUAGCGCUUGCUUAUUAUAGAUGCUUGUAUUACUACUUGAGACUUAAGAGUGGAAGCAUUUGUGUAUAUAUGUUUACUUGCAUUAAGCUUAUUUCCUUUUCCUAGUUAAUAAAUCUUUAGAGUUUAUUAUAAGAUUGACUACAGGUGUUGUCUGUGGUGUGAGAUCUAAGGUGCAAUGGACAUGGGGUAAGUGACUGGUCUUUUGGGACUGGAAGUAACCUGAAUAUUGCUGUGAAUCAUUGGUGUAAAGGACUAUCUAUCACGAAGGUAAGCUUACCUACGUGGCUCGUAUCCAAGGGGACUGUCUGUGAUUCCAUGUUAAGGCCAUUAUAGUGCUUGUGGAGUUCACACUUGAUGAUUGGUCGGUGAAAUCUAAAUACAGAAGUCCCUGCCCAGUUGGGGUUUGUACCCUAGGGGUGGUACUCAGGCUCUCGAGCCACUGCAGAGACAAAAGACUGUUUGCAGUGUAACAGAGGAGAGAGGCACUCUGUAUCCUUGAACUGAAGAGACAUCCUGAGCAGCGGGGGUGAUCUCAUGAAAAGUUGGUUCCUGGUUCCUGUGAAGUCAGCUAGCUCUGCAAGAGAUUGAAGUUUGGGGGUGGGAGAAACCUACUCUGUUAGCUAGAAAAGGUAGCUUUUAGUAAGUGUAGAUUCAGGUUUGUGUUUUAUCAUUUUGUUUUGUAUUGUAACCUUUUGUUUCCAUCACUCUCUCUGUUGUUUCUAGUUGAAUACAUAACUAAACUGUUUGUUUUUAUUACAAGUGUUGUACAGGAAUGGGGGGAGGUUAAGGUAAAACUAGUAAACUGGGGAGCACUGCUUCUAUGGGGGCAGAGGAUCUGGGAUUUCUGUGAGUAACUAGUGUCAGGGGCUGGAUAUCACAAGGUAAUGUUUCAAAGGGACUCGGGCUGGGGUGCACCUCUUGUUAAUCUGCCAGGUGAAGUCAGGACUGGCACACCCAAGUGGGUGGCUGACAGGCUGGUCAUGUUAGGGAGCUGACCCCCAGUUACCAAGACUCCCUCACCCUAGAAGCAGGGCUAACGAGUUGACUCAGUCCGGGAUACCCCAGGAACCAGCCCAGUGGUGUAGUCAGUAGGAUCUUUACCCUGCUUGCUAGCUAAUCACAGCCCAUGCUCAUGGUGCUUAUAAACCAGUGACCAAGAGCCUAGAGAGUGUGAAGGUUGGAAAGAAGGGAAGAAAGGGUUACUCUUUGUUGUCUGUGUGUUUGUUUCAGGUAAGGGACUAGAGUGGCAGAAGAGGCCGGAUGAGCAGAGAAAUACAUGCUAAUCACACCAAGAAGCAGUAGGAGGAGCUGUGUGCUGAGUGCUGGCUAUUUGCUGCAGGAAAAGAUAUGGCUGAGUUAAGACCCUCCUCAUGGAAUAUGCCAAGCCGCAUGAAGGGCAGCCGAGCUCCAAGUGAGCGUGAAGACUCAGGGAACCCACGUGGUGCCGCCACCGCCAGCGUGACAGCUCUGGACCUGGACAAGGCCAGGGCAGAGCUCUGUAAAAUGGACCUAGCAGAAAAAGAGAAGGAGGGUGAGCAUCAGCAGAGAAUGGUAGAAAUUGCAGCCAAAGAGAAUGAAGCAGCACAUCAGAGACAGCUGGAGCUGGAAGAAGCUGUAUGCCAGCAAUCCAUGGAGCUGGAGGAGCAAAAGCGUGAACCAAAAGAUCAUGAGCAAGAUGCUGGAGAGGUAUAUACCGAACCCCCAGACAGCAGGCAAUCCUCCAAAAGGGGCACCAGCUGGGACAGACUGUGCCUUACUCUCUGAUACAAUCCGUCUCUCUCUCUCCACUCUUGAAAGAAUAUAUGAACUGUACAAGAUUCCAGAGGAAAAGAGUGUACCCACGCUGAUCUCCAAGCUGACUGGUAGAGCAUUGGGAGUGGUUAAUGAGAUGGACAAGGGGCAGGCACUGAAAGGACGAGUUGAAACAAGCUGUGUUUCAAAGGUUUCAGAUCACCCCAGAGCUGUAUCGUUUAAGGUUCAGAACUCUCAAAAGCAUGACAAGGAACGUUUCCUGAGUAGAUGUACUGAAGGAGUCAGAGUGCCGAUCUUUGAUAACCCUCCUGCCACUGUAUGGAGUAUAGCUGAUAUCAAGACUCCUACAUACAGGCCAGACUGUUCAGUGAGCACAGACUCCAGAAGGAGGGGCAGAAGCCCAGUAUAAAAGGGGGACCCUGUUUUAUGUCUGGGAAAAGGGAGGGUGUGGUGGUGGGUCCAAGCACCCACCAUCACAGAACUGAUCACCUCCCAGUAGUCAAAAUUACAGGCCUCUAGCACAGCAGGACGGCCCAAAAAGUACUACUCAUCUGACUCCACUGGGCACAUGAAAAGAAAUUAUCCUAAGCAAGGGGUAUCCGAAUAUAAACCCUGUUCAGCCCAGGUUAAUGUUGCUACUUUGGACUGAGGGGACCCUAGUGAAUGCUGUAAGGUCUGACCUAUUGGUGGUUGAUAAAGAGUUUAUUAAAGAUUCCAAGGUGAAUGCUAAGGUUUGCCAAGGUCGGAGGGUUACUUACACCCAAAUUUCUCUGGUCAGAAAAGACCUGGUUGUGGAAUCUGAGCUACUCCCCGAGGAAAAUGUAAAACUCCUUCCAUUGGGAAACUCUGAAAUCACUGUACCCUUAGUUCGUUGGAGUGGGAAGGUUUAAAAGGUACUUUAACAGCUGCUAUACUGGAUAGACAAGGUGGAUGAGGUAAUGUCUUUUAAUGGACCAAUGUCUGUAGAUGAAAGAGACAAACUUUCGAGCUGUACAGAGCUCUUCUGCAGGGCUGGGAAAGGUGCUCAGGGUGUCUCAGCUUCACUGCUGUACAGUAGAACCUCCCAUUUAUGAACAUUGACUUAAUAAAGCUUUGAAAUUUUACUAUUCAGAAAAAAUGCUGCUUUUGACCAUCUUAAUUUAAACGAAACAAGCACAGAAU